GUGGGGAAUCUUGCGCAAUGGGCGAAAGCCUGACGCAGCCAUGCCGCGUGAAUGAUGAAGGUCUUAGGAUUGUAAAAUUCUUUCACCGGGGAAGAUAAUGACGGUACCCGGAGAAGAAGCUCCGGCUAACUUCGUGCGAGCAGCCGCGGUACUACGAAGGGGGCUAGCGUUGCUAGGAAUUACUGGGCGUAAAGGGCGCGUAGGCGGACAGCUUAGUCAGAGGUGAAAGCCCAGGGCUCAACCUUGGAAUUGCCUUUGAUACUGGCUGUCUUGAGGUGGGGAGAGGUGAGGGGAACUCCGAGUGUAGAGGGGAAAUUCGUAGAUAUUCGGAAGAACACCAGUGGCGAAGGCGACUCACUGGCCCAAUACUGACGCUGAGGCGCGAAAGCGUGGGGAGCAAACAGGAUUAGAAACCCGAGUAGUCC
rnacentral:rRNA from 1 species